UUAUAGAUUAAGCUUUAUCAUAGGUAUAUGUGUAUCAAAAAAAACUAUCAGGUUCAGUACUAUCCACGGUUUCAGGCAUUCACUGGGGGUCUUAGAACAUAUGCCCUGUGGAUGAAGGGGCGACUACCAUACCAGAAGGAGAAGAGAGAAUAGAAGAGUGAGAGAUUAAAGUCAGAGUAUGGGUAACUAGAAACUUUACUCUAAAGGAGAUCAGAAAAAUGAGGAUGUACUU
rnacentral:lncRNA from 1 species